AACGAACGCUGGCGGCAUGCCUAACACAUGCAAGUCGAACGGGAUCCGGACUUCGGUUCGGUGAGAGUGGCGGACGGGUGAGUAACGCGUGGGAACCUGCCCAGUGGUGGGGGAUAACUGCGGGAAACUGCAGCUAAUACCGCAUGAGCCCGAGAGGGGAAAGAUUUAUCGCCAUUGGAGGGGCCCGCGUUCGAUUAGGUAGUUGGUGAGGUAAUGGCUCACCAAGCCGACGAUCGAUAGCUGGUCUGAGAGGAUGAUCAGCCACACUGGGACUGAGAUACGGCCCAGACUCCUACGGGAGGCAGCAGUGGGGAAUAUUGGACAAUGGGGGCAACCCUGAUCCAGCAAUGCCGCGUGAGUGAUGAAGGCCUUCGGGUUGUAAAGCUCUUUUGGCGGGGACGAUGAUGACGGUACCCGCAGAAUAAGCCCCGGCUAACUUCGUGCCAGCAGCCGCGGUAAAAC
rnacentral:rRNA from 1 species